ensembl:snRNA U1 U1 spliceosomal RNA
AUAUUCUCCUUCAUAAAUAUGAGAUACCACGAUCAGGAAGGUGCUUCGCCCAGGGCGAGGCUCAGCCAUCGCACUCUGGGUUCUUGUGCUGACCCCUGCGAAUUCCCCACAUGUGGGAAUCUCGACUGCAUAAUUUCUGGUAGUGGGGGACUGGGUUCGCGCUCUCCCCGU